rnacentral:rRNA from 1 species
UCAAUAUAAAUUGAUGUUAAUAUUUAUUUAUUAAUUUAUUAUUGUUUAUUUAAUUAAUUAUUAAAAAUAAUUAUAAAUUUAUUGUUUUAGUAAAUUUUAUUGAACUAAUUUUAUUAAUAAUAGUGUAUUAGUACUGUGGAUGAUUAUUGAAAUAAUUUGAAAAAUUUUUAUAUAAAAAGAAAAUUUAUUCUAUUGUACCUUGUGUAUCAGGGUAGAUUAAUUAUUUAAUAUAAAUAUUAUUAUUCUCGAUUUUAUAAGAGUUAAUUGUAUAUAUAAGUUAAUGUUUCAUAAUUAUUUAUAAUAUAUAAUUGGUAAUGAAAUGUUAUUCGUUUAUAAUGGUAUCUAGUUUUUUUAGAAAUGAAUUUAAUUCAUUAGUUUUUAAUUUUUGAUUUUAUUUUUUAGGCCAAAAAUUUAUAAAUUAAAAUACUUUAAGGGAUAAGCUUUAAAGUAAAAUUUUAAAAGUUUAAUUUAGAUUUUAAAAUGUAUACAUAUAAUUUGUAAUCAUUUAUGAGUUUGUUAUAAAUCAUAUAAUUUUAUAUAAUAUUUAUUUAAAUUUUAAUUUUUUUAUAAAAAUUUUUUGUAUAAUUAGAUUUUAAAAUUAAUAAUGAUUUAAUUAGUUUAUUGUUGUGUGUGUGUAUAUAUAUAUGCAUAUUGUUUUAAUAUUUAAAGUUGUUAAGUUUAUAUAAAGAACUCGGCAAAUUAAAAUACUCGCCUGUUUAACAAAAACAUGUCUUUUUGUAAUAAAUUUAAAGUCUGAUCUGCCCAAUGAUAAUUAUUUAAUGGCCGCAGUAUUUUAACUGUGCAAAGGUAGCAUAAUCAUUAGUCUUUUAAUUGAAGGCUGGUAUGAAUGGUUGGACGAAGUAUAAGCUGUUUCAUAUAAAAUUAUAAUAUAAUUUUAUAUUUUAGUUAAAAAGCUAAAAUAUAUUUAAAAGACGAGAAGACCCUAUGAAUCUUUAUAUUUUAUUUAAAUUUUAAUUUUGUAGAAUUAUUUUAUUAUUAUUUAAGUGGAUAUUUUAUUGGGGUGAUAUUAAAAUUUAAAUAACUUUUAAUUUUGAUUUACAUUGAUAUAUGUGUUAUUGAUCCUUUAUUAUGGGUUAUAAGAUUAAGUUACUCUAGGGAUAACAGCGUAAUUUUUUUGGAGAGUUCUUAUCGAUAAAAAAGAUUGCGACCUCGAUGUUGGAUUAAGAUAAAUUUUUAGGUGUAGCUGCUUAAAUUAUAAGUCUGUUCGACUUU